ACGGCUCAGUAACACGUGGAUAACCUGCCCUUGGGUCCGGCAUAACCCCGGGAAACUGGGGAUAAUUCCGGAUAACGCAUAUAUGCUGGAAUGCUUUCUGCGUAAAAUGGAUUCGUCUGCCCAAGGAUGGGUCUGCGGCCUAUCAGGUAGUAGUGGGUGUAAUGUACCUACUAGCCUACGACGGGUACGGGUUGUGAGAGCAAGAGCCCGGAGAUGGAUUCUGAGACAUGAAUCCAGGCCCUACGGGGCGCAGCAGGCGCGAAAACUUUACAAUGCGGGAAACCGUGAUAAGGGGACACCGAGUGCCAGCAUCAUAUGCUGGCUGUCCGGGUGUGUAAAAUACACCUGUUAGCAAGGGCCGGGCAAGACCGGUGCCAGCCGCCGCGGUAACACCGGCGGCCCGAGUGGUGAUCGUGAUUAUUGGGUCUAAAGGGUCCGUAGCCGGUUUGGUCAGUCCUCCGGGAAAUCUGACAGCUUAACUGUUAGGCUUUCGGAGGAUACUGCCAGACUUGGAACCGGGAGAGGUAAGAGGUACUACAGGGGUAGGAGUGAAAUCUUGUAAUCCCUGUGGGACCACCUGUGGCGAAGGCGUCUUACCAGAACGGGUUCGACGGUGAGGGACGAAAGCUGGGGGCACGAACCGGAUUAGAUACCCGGGUAGUCCCAGCCGUAAACGAUGCUCGCUAGGUGUCAGGCAUGGCGCGACCGUGUCUGGUGCCGCAGGGAAGCCGUGAAGCGAGCCACCUGGGAAGUACGGCCGCAAGGCUGAAACUUAAAGGAAUUGGCGGGGGAGCAC
rnacentral:rRNA from 1 species